rnacentral:rRNA from 1 species
UAUGAAGGUCAGGCUGAAGACCGUUACCCCGAUUAGCUGAGAGGUGGUGCAUGGCCGUCGUCAGUUCGUACUGUGAAGCAUCCUGUUAAGUCAGGCAACGAGCGAGACCCACGUCCACAGUUGCCAGCAUACCCUCCGGGGUGAUGGGUACACUGUGGAGACCGCCGCUGCUAAAGCGGAGGAAGGAGUGGGCAACGGUAGGUCAGUAUGCCCCGAAUCUCCCGGGCUACACGCGGGCUACAAUGGUUGGUACAAUGGGCAUCUACCCCGAAAGGGGAAGGAAAUCUCUUAAAGCCAAUCGUAGUUCGGAUUGAGGGCUGCAACUCGCCCUCAUGAAGCUGGAAUCCGUAGUAAUCGCGUUUCAACAGAACGCGGUGAAUACGUCCCUGCUCCUU